rnacentral:rRNA from 1 species
GUGUAGUUGGUGGUAGUAGCGUGGGUAAUACGCAGUGUGGUAGCGUGUUCGGUAGUUAGUGGGUUGUAAGGGUGCGUAGGAGGCGUGAUAAGUAAGGGGUGAAAUCCUAUCGCUUAACGAUAGACGGGCCAUUGAUACUGUAGGGCUUGAGUACAGAUGCCGUUGGCGGAAUGUGUCAUGUAGCGGUGAAAUGCAUAGAUAGGACACAGAACACCGAUUGCGAAGGCAGCUGACGAAACUGUAACUGACGCGGAUGCACGAAAGCGUGGGGAUCAAACAGGAUUAGAUACCCGAGUAGUC